UACGGGGGGAGCAAGCGUUGUUCGGAUUUACUGGGCGUAAAGGGCGCGUAGGCGGUCAGCACAAGUCAGUUGUGAAAUCUCCGGGCUUAACUCGGAAAGGUCAACUGAUACUGUGCGACUAGAGUGCAGAAGGGGCAACUGGAAUUCUUGGUGUAGCGGUGAAAUGCGUAGAUAUCAAGAGGAACACCCGUGGCGAAGGCGGGUCUCUGGGCCGAUACUGACGCUGAGGAGCGAAAGCGUGGGGAGCGAACAGG
rnacentral:rRNA from 1 species